rnacentral:rRNA from 1 species
AGAGUUUGAUUCUGGCUCAGAACGAACGUUAGCGGCGCGCCUAACACAUGCAAGUCGCACGAGAAAGGGCUUCGGCCCCGGUACAGUGGCGCACGGGUGAGUAACACGUAGAUAAUCUUCCCUCGGGUGGUGGAUAACUCUCCGAAAGGAGAGCUAAUACAGCAUGAGACCACGGCUCCCCUGGAGCUGCGGCCAAAGCAGGCCUCUAUACAUAAGCUUGCGCCUGAGGAUGAGUCUGCGGCCCAUCAGCUAGUUGGUAGGGUAAUGGCCUACCAAGGCUAAGACGGGUAGCUGGUCUGAGAGGAUGAACAGCCACACUGGAACUGAGACACGGUCCAGACUCCUACGGGAGGCAGCAGUGGGAAUCUUGCGCAAUGGGCGAAAGCCUGACGCAGCGACGCCGCGUGAGCGAUGAAGGCCUUCGGGUUGUAAAGCUCUGUGGGGAGGAAAGAAUAAGGGUUGGCUAAUAUCCAGCUCGAUGACGGUACCUCCUUAGCAAGCACCGGCUAACUCUGUGCCAGCAGCCGCGGUAAGACAGAGGGUGCAAACGUUGUUCGGAAUUACUGGGCGUAAAGCGCGUGUAGGCGGCUCUGUAAGUCGGAUGUGAAAUCCCACGGCUCAACCAUGGAAGUGCAUUCGAAACUACAGGGCUAGAGUUCUGGAGAGGAAGGUGGAAUGCUUGGUGUAGAGGUGAAAUUCGUAGAUAUCAAGCGGAACACCGGUGGCGAAGGCGGCCUUCUGGACAGUAACUGACGCUGAGACGCGAAAGCGUGGGGAGCAAACAGGAUUAGAUACCCUGGUAGUCCACGCCGUAAACGAUGAGUGCUAGGUGUCACGGGCUUUGACCCUCGUGGUGCCGAAGCUAACGCGUUAAGCACUCCGCCUGGGGAGUACGGUCGCAAGACUAAAACUCAAAGAAAUUGACGGGGGCCCGCACAAGCGGUGGAGCAUGUUGUUUAAUUCGACGCAACGCGAAGAACCUUACCUGGGCUAGAAAGUACAGGAAGUCGGUCGAAAGGUCGAUGUGCCCUUCGGGGAACCUGUGGUUAGGUGCUGCAUGGCUGUCGUCAGCUCGUGUCGUGAGAUGUUGGGUUAAGUCCCGCAACGAGCGCAACCCCUGUUGUUAGUUGCCAGCAUUAAGUUGGGCACUCUAACAAGACUGCCGACCUUUAAGUCGGAGGAAGGUGGGGAUGACGCACAGUCCUCAUGGCCCUUAUGUCUGGGGCUACACACGUGCUACAAUGGCGACUACAAAGGGAAGCGAAUUCGCGAGGAAGAGCAAACCCCAUAAAAGUCGCCUCAGUUCGGAUAGCAGUCUGCAACUCGACUGCUUGAAGCCGGAAUCGCUAGUAAUCGCGGAUCAGCAU